GGCUCAGGACGAACGCUGGCGGCGUGCCUAAUACAUGCAAGUAGAACGCUGAGGACUGGUGCUUGCACUGGUCUAAGGAGUUGCGAACGGGUGAGUAACGCGUAGGUAACCUACCUCAUAGCGGGGGAUAACUAUUGGAAACGAUAGCUAAUACCGCAUGACAAUAGGGUACACAUGUACCCUAUUUAAAAGGGGCAAAUGCUUCACUAUGAGAUGGACCUGCGUUGUAUUAGCUAGUUGGUAAGGUAACGGCUUACCAAGGCGACGAUACAUAGCCGACCUGAGAGGGUGAUCGGCCACACUGGGACUGAGACACGGCCCAGACUCCUACGGGAGGCAGCAGUAGGGAAUCUUCGGCAAUGGGGGGAACCCUGACCGAGCAACGCCGCGUGAGUGAAGAAG
rnacentral:rRNA from 1 species